GACGGAGGAUGCAAGCGUUAUCCGGAAUUAUUGGGCGUAAAGGGUGCGUAGGUGGUCAGACAAGUCCCAUGUCAAAGCAUGGUGCUUAACGCCAUAAAGGCGUGGGAAACUGUGUGACUAGAGUACAGCAGGGGCAGGAGGAAUUCCCGGUGUAGCGGUGAAAUGCGUAGAUAGCAGGAAGAACACCAGUGGCGCAAGCGUUCUGCUGGGCUGUAACUGACACUGAGGCACGAAAGCUAGGUGAGCGAAAGGG
rnacentral:rRNA from 1 species